rnacentral:snoRNA from 1 species
CUGCAGCUGGUUAAGCCAACUUGCUCACCUCCCUGAUGGGGCUCAGUGUGCAGUCCCUGCAAAAAACAGACUCCUGGGUUGUGAAUACAGCUCAUUCCUUGUAUAUGUUGUUUGGGUGACACCUUGCCCUCCCCA